rnacentral:rRNA from 1 species
UACGGGGGGAGCAAGCGUUGUUCGGAUUUACUGGGCGUAAAGGGCGCGUAGGCGGCCACCGCAAGUCGACUGUGAAAUCUCCGGGCUUAACCCGGAAAGGUCAGCCGAUACUGCGGGGCUAGAGUGCAGAAGGGGCAACUGGAAUUCUUGGUGUAGCGGUGAAAUGCGUAGAUAUCAGGAGGAACACCCAUGGCGAAGGCAGCUAACUGGGCAUUAUCUGACGCUGAGGCGCGAAAGCGUGGGUAGCAAACAGG